UACGUAGGUGGCAAGCGUUGUCCGGAAUCACUGGGCGUAAAGCGCGUGUAGGCGGCUAAGUAAGUCGGGCGUGAAAUCCCACGGCUCAACCGUGGAAGUGCACUCGAAACUGCAUAGCUAGAGUCCUGGAGAGGAAGGUGGAAUGCUUGGUGUAGAGGUGAAAUUCGUAGAUAUCAAGCGGAACACCGGUGGCGAAGGCGGCCUUCUGGACAGUGACUGACGCUGAGACGCGAAAGCGUGGGGAGCAAACAGG
rnacentral:rRNA from 1 species